rnacentral:rRNA from 1 species
GUCUUGAAACACGGACCAAGGAGUCUGGCAUGUGCGCGAAUUAUUGGGAACAACUAAACCUAAAGGCGCAAUGAAAGUGAAGGUCCGCCUCGCGCGGACCGAGGGAGGAUGGGCGGUGACCACCGUAAGAUGGCCCGCCCCGCACUCCCGGGGCGUCUCGUUCUCAUUGCGAGAAGAGGCGCACCAAGAGCGUACACGCUGGGACCCGAAAGAUGGUGAACUAUGCCUGGUCAGGACGAAAUCAGGGGAAACCCUGAUGGAGGUCCGUAGCGAUUCUGACGUGCAAAUCGAUCGUCGGAACUGGGUAUAGGGGCGAAAGACUAAUCGAACCAUCUAGUAGCUGGUUCCCUCCGAAGUUUCCCUCAGGAUAGCUGGCGCUCGUCGCCUACGAGUCUCAUCCGGUAAAGCGAAUGAUUAGAGGCAUUGGGGUCGAAACGGCCUCAACCUAUUCUCAAACUUUAAAUGGGUGAGAUCUCCGGCUUGCUCGAACUACUGAAGCCGCGAGACACGGAUCAGAGUGCCAAGUGGGCCAUUUUUGGUAAGCAGAACUGGCGCUGUGGGAUGAACCAAACGCCGAGUUAAAGCGCCUAAAUCGACGCUUAUGGGAUACCAUGAAAGGCGUUGGUAACUUAAGACAGCAGGACGGUGGCCAUGGAAGUCGGAAUCCGCUAAGGAGUGUGUA